GGUAGAGAUCAAAGGUCAGAAGCUCAGGCUCCAUUUUGUCUUUGAAGAACAAACAGAAGAAACACGUCGGUGUCAGAAUUAAAGGCUGACUGAACUCCAGAAGAUGGAGAACAGAGCAGAACCUCCAGGAUCCAGCUGUCCGUCUAUUAGGAGUGACCGGUCCAAAGAGAAGAAUCCAGACUUCAGUGAAGAACCUGGACCCUCAGACUCAGAAGGUCAGAACCACAGACAGAGAGCAGAACCUCCAGGAUCCAGCUGUCCGUCUAUGAGGAGUAACUGGUCCAAAGGUCACCCUCCAGACUUCAGUGAAGAACCUGGACCCUCAGAC